AUGAUACUUUCGGUCUCUACUCCUUUUAUACCCGUAGUCCACCGCGGUUGGGCCAAAGGUGGAGAUUGUUGAAAUUGUUGGCCCAAUCAAGCCCAUUCCUGGUAGCCCAUUACCAUCACCUAGCCCACAACUGGCAGCCCAUCUUCCUUGGUUAAAUUGUGGAACCCUAGCUGAUACCUAUCUCUCGUUCUCUCCUCCCUUCCCUCUGCGUCUUCUGUGUGAAAGAGAGAAGCCUUGCCUGUACCUUCACCAUACCUCCUGUCAUCUCCGUGUCUUGGGCGAAGUGUGAACAAGCUUAGUGCUUGUGUGUGUCUUCUUCGUCCGAACUGAGCUAUCUCUGUGUGGAUUAGCCUGAGUGAGGUUGAGGGUGAUUUGGCAGUGGAGUUGCC
rnacentral:lncRNA from 1 species